UGGGGAAUAUUGCGCAAUGGGCGAAAGCCUGACGCAGCCACGCCGCGUGAGCGAUGAAGGCCUUCGGGUCGUAAAGCUCUGUGGGGAGAGAAGAAGAAAGCCCGUGAAGAGCGGGCCUUGACGGUAUCUCCUUAGCAAGCACCGGCUAACUCCGUGCCAGCAGCCGCGGUAAUACGGAGGGUGCAAACGUUGCUCGGAAUCAUUGGGCGUAAAGCGUGUGUAGGCGGUGAGGUAAGUCAGGUGUGAAAUCCCACGGCUCAACCAUGGAAGUGCACUUGAUACUGCUUCGCUUGAGUACUGGAGAGGUUGGUGGAAUUCUUGGUGUAGAGGUGAAAUUCGUAGAUAUCGGGAGGAAUACCAGUGGCGAAGGCGCUGACCUGGACGAAGAUUGACGCUGAGGUGCGAAAGCGCGGGGAGCAAACA
rnacentral:rRNA from 1 species